GUCUACUGCCACACAUCCCGGAAUGCGCACGACCUUGUCUGAUCUUGGAAGCUGAGCAGGGUUGGGAGGAUUUGGUUCAUAAGGCUCCCCCUUGAAUACUGUGUAGUUAAUA
rnacentral:rRNA from 1 species